rnacentral:rRNA from 1 species
UACGAAGGGGGCUAGCGUUGCUCGGAAUGACUGGGCGUAAAGGGCGCGUAGGCGGUGUACACAGUCAGGCGUGAAAUUCCCGGGCUCAACCUGGGGACUGCGCUUGAUACAUGUGCGCUUGAGUUCGGGAGAGGGAUGUGGAAUUCCAGGUGUAGUGGUGAAAGUGCGUAGAUAUCUGGAGGAACACCAGUGGCGAAGGCGGCAUCCUGGCCCUGUCCUGACGCUCAGGG